GACGAACUGCCCAAACGUUGUUCGGAAUCACUGGGCUUAAAGGGCGCGUAGGCGGCAGAUCAAGUCAGGGGUGAAAUCCGGCAGCUCAACUGUCGAAGUGCCUUUGAUACUGAUUUGCUCGAGGGAGAUAGGGGUCUGUGGAACUUCUGGUGGAGCGGUGAAAUGCGCAGAUAUCAGGAAGAACACCCGUGGCGAAGGCGGUUCUCUGGGACGGUACUGACGCUGAGACGCGAAAGCGUGGGGAGCGAACAGG
rnacentral:rRNA from 1 species